rnacentral:lncRNA from 10 species
CUGGCUAGCUAUGUGAUCGUGGACGGACAUUGCCCGUCUCUGUGCCUCAGUUUCCUCUUUUAUAAAAUGAGAAAAAUACUUCAUGUGGUUGCUGAAAGGAUGAUAUGACUGAAAACAAGUAAAGAGCUUGGAGCAGAACCUGGCACAUAGUAUGUGCUCAAUAUAUAUGAGCUCUUAUUGUUUGUUUGUUCAUUUGUUUGUUUGUUUUGAAACAAGGUCUCACUCCAUCACCCAGGCUGGAGUGCAGUGGCAUGAUCAUGGCUUACUGUAGCCUCAACCUCCCCAGGCUCAGCUUCCUGAGUAGCUGGGACUACAGGCACGCGCCACCACAUCUGGCUAAUUUUUCUAUCUUUUGUAGAGACAGGAUUUCACCAUAUUGCCCAGGCUGGUCUUAUCUUAAACUCCUGG